rnacentral:sRNA from 1 species
GCGCAGGAACUAAAACAUUUGAUCUUGGAGGCAGCAGAUGGCUUUCUGUUUAUUGUCUCAUGUGAGACAGGCAGGGUGGUGUAUGUCUCUGACUCCGUGACUCCUGUUUUGAACCAGCCACAGUCUGAAUGGUUUGGCAGCACACUCUAUGAUCAGGUGCACCCAGAUGAUGUGGAUAAACUUCGUGAGCAGCUUUCCACUUCAGAAAAUGCCCUGACAGGGCGUAUCCUGGAUCUAAAGACUGGAACAGUGAAAAAGGAAGGUCAGCAGUCUUCCAUGAGAAUGUGUAUGGGCUCAAGGAGAUCGUUUAUUUGCCGAAUGAGGUGUGGCAGUAGCUCUGUGGACCCAGUUUCUGUGAAUAGGCUGAGCUUUGUGAGGAACAGAUGCAGGAAUGGACUUGGCUCUGUAAAGGAUGGGGAACCUCACUUCGUGGUGGUCCACUGCACAGGCUACAUCAAGGCCUGGCCCCCAGCAGGUAAGAAAGUGAAAUAGUAAAUAUUUCCCCUUGGUACAGUUGGUUCCUCACAGAGUCCAUGAAAGCUAAUAUUUAUUAUAUACCUGGUAUAUGAAAUGUACUUUUGUGUAAGAUGAAAGAAAAUAGGAAAAGAAAAUGUACAAUCCUUCCCUUCCAUUAUUGAGCUUUUAUUCCAGUUGAGGAGAUAGAUAACUCAGGCUGGAAAAUGAUUCAGUAUUGGCUGUGUCACAGAAUGUGGUUUUUAUAUGCACAAAUUUAUACUGAACAUAUGUAUUCUAAGCAUUUGUUGCAAAGAAACAUAGACAUUGAAUGCAGUUAAUUUGAGAAAGAUU